GAUGAACGCUGGCGGCGUGCCUAAUACAUGCAAGUCGAGCGAACAGACGAGGAGCUUGCUCCUGUGACGUUAGCGGCGGACGGGUGAGUAACACGUGGAUAACCUACCUAUAAGACUGGGAUAACUUCGGGAAACCGGAGCUAAUACCGGAUAAUAUAUUGAACCGCAUGGUUCAAUAGUGAAAGACGGUUUUGCUGUCACUUAUAGAUGGAUCCGCGCCGCAUUAGCUAGUUGGUAAGGUAACGGCUUACCAAGGCAACGAUGCGUAGCCGACCUGAGAGGGUGAUCGGCCACACUGGAACUGAGACACGGUCCAGACUCCUACGGGAGGCAGCAGUAGGGAAUCUUCCGCAAUGGGCGAAAGCCUGACGGAGCAACGCCGCGUGAGUGAUGAAGGUCUUCGGAUCGUAAAACUCUGUUAUUAGGGAAGAACAAAUGUGUAAGUAACUAUGCACGUCUUGACGGUACCUAAUCAGAAAGCCACGGCUAACUACGUG
rnacentral:rRNA from 1 species